AGUCGAACGGCAGCACGGACUUCGGUCUGGUGGCGAGUGGCGAACAGGUGAGUAAUGUAUCGGAACGUGCCUAUUAGCGGGGGAUAACUACGCGAAAGCGUAGCUAAUACCGCAUACGCCCUUCGGGGAAAGCGGGGGACCUUCGGGCCUCGCACUAUUAGAGCCGAUAUCGGAUUCGCUAGUUGGUGGAGUAAGCUUGCUCACCAAGGCGACGAUCCGUAGCUGGUUUGAGGACGACCAGCCACACUGGGACUGAGACGCGGCCCAGACUCUACGGGAGGCAGCAGUGGGGAAUUUUGGACAAUGGGGAAACCCUGAUCCAGCCAUCCCGCGUGUGCGAUGGCGAAGGCCUUCGGGUUGUAAAGCACUUGCUGGCAGGAAGAAACGGCACGGGAUAUUACCCCCGCCAUGCUGACAUUGCAGAAUAAGCACCGGCUAGCUACGUGCCAGCGACCGCGGUAAUACGUAGGGUGCAAGCGUUAAUCAAGUUACUGGGCGUAAAGCGUGCGCAGGCGGUUCGGAAAGAAAAGAUGUGAAAUCCAGAGCUUAACUUUGGAACUGCAUUUUUAACUACCGAGCUAGAGUGUGUCAGAAGGAGGUGGAAUUCCGCGUGUAGCAGUGAAAUGCGUAGAUAUGCGGAGGAACACCGAUGGCGAAGGCAGCCUCCUGGGAUAACACUGACGCUCAUGCACGAAAGCGUGGGGAGCAAACAGGAUUAGAUACCUGGUAGUCCACGCCCUAAACGAUGUCAACUAGCUGUUGGGGCCUUCCGGGCCCUUGGUAGCGCAACUAACGCGUAGUUGACCGCCAAAUUGCGGUCGCAAGAUUAAAAACUCAAAGAAUUUGACGGGGACCCGCACAAGCGGUGGAUGAUGUGGAUUAAUUCGAUGCACAACGCGAAAAACCUUACCUACCCUUGACAUGUCUGGAGUCCCGAAGAGAUUUGGGAGUGCUCGCAAAAGAGAACCGGAACAGGUGCUGCGCUGGCUGUCGUCAGCUCGUGUCGUGAGAUGUUGGGUUAAGUCCGCAACGAGCGCAACCCUUGUCAUUAGUUGCUACGAAAGGGCACUCUAAUGAGACUGCCGGUGACAAACCGGAGGAGAAGGUGGGGAUGACGUCAAGUCCUCAUGGCCCUUAUGGUGGGGCUUCACACGUCGUACAAUGGUCGGGACGGGGGUCGCCAACCCGCGAGGAGCCAAUCCAGAAACCCGAUCGUAGUCCGGAUCGCAGUCUGCAACUCGACUGCGUGAAGUCGGAAUCGCUAGUAAUCGCGGAUCAGCAUGUCGCGGUGAAUACGUUCCCGGGUCUUGUACACACCGCCCGUCACACCAUGGGAGUGGGUUUACCAGAAGUAGUUAGCCUAACCGUAAAGGAGGCGAUUACCACGGUAAGUUCAUGACUGGUGAAGUCGUAACAAGGUAA
rnacentral:rRNA from 1 species